rnacentral:ncRNA from 1 species
UUCCCAUGAAUUUGCGCAUAAAUGCGCAUUUAAGUUAUUGCAGUUAAAAAUCUUAUAGUUGGAUCUUGGGUCGUAAAGGUCGGUCCGCCUACUUGGUUUGUGCCUGCCCUUCCGUCCCUUUUGUCGGCGGCAUGCUCCUGGCCUUAAUUGGUUGGGUCGCGGUUCCGAUGUUGUUACUUUGAAAAAAAUAGAGUGCUCAAAGCAAGCUUAUGCUCUGAAUACAUUAGCAUGGAAUAAAGCGAUAGGAGUUUGGUCCUAUUGUGUUAUACUUCGAGACCAUAGUAAUGAUUAAUAGGGACUGUCGAGGGCAUUCGUAUUUCAUUGUCUGAGGUGAAAUUCUUGGAUUUAUGAAAGACGAACCACUAUGAAAGAAUUUGCCAAGGAUGUUUUCAUUAAUCAAGAAUGAAAGUUGGGGGCUCGAAGAUGAUCAUAUACCAUCCUAGUCUCAACCAUAAACAAUGCCAACUAGGGAACACCGGAUGUUUCUCUAAGGACUCCGCCAACACCUGAUGAGAAAUCAGAGUGUUUGGGUUCCGGGGGGGGGUAUGGUCACAAGGAUGAAACUUAAAGGAAUUGACAGAAGGGAACCACUAGGAGUGGAUCCUGCAGCUUAAUUUGACUCAACAGGAGAAAACUUACCAGGUCCAGACAUAGUAAGGAUUGACAGAUUGAGAGAUCUUUCUUGAUUCUAUGG